AUAGACGACAACCAGGUGUUGUUGUUUGAGAG
rnacentral:scRNA from 1 species